UCAGUCAGCGCAGCGUAAUAAUAGAAACUAACCAGGAUUCCCUUAGUAACGGCGAGUGAACUGGGAUACCCAAUAUACCAUCUGUGCGUACCUCGGUGCGUACAAAUUUUAGCCCGUCGAUACUAUCCUAGCAUAGUACUGGCUUCGGCCGGUAACCUAUCUAUGCGCGAAUUGUAGCAUCGUACAAAAAUAUAUUAUACAACGUAUAUAUACGCAACCCACACUUAUAUAUAUCUUUAUGCGUACACUUACUUUCAUAAACACACAGCGCUCUCGCGUUGGAAAGCAAGUUUAUAUCCUUUUUUGGAUACGCCAUAGAGUGUGACAGCCACGUUUCAACUCUACGUACGUACGUACGUAUACACACGCGUUAUAUACAUACACUGUAUUUUAUAUAUAACCUGAGUCGAGUUAUUUGGGACUAUAGCUCUAAUAGUUUGGUUGGUGGUAAUGACACAUCAAAGGCUAAAUAUCGGUUAGUCGAUGCGUAUACACGGAGACCGAUAGCAUACAAGUACCGUAAGGGAACGAUGAAAAGCACCCUAUUGAGUUCACGGCGCAGACUGUCUCGCAAUUUAUUGCAGGACGUCUUGCGCCCAACAACUACAGUGGGAGUGAAAGAGAGAGU
rnacentral:rRNA from 1 species